rnacentral:rRNA from 1 species
AUUGAACGCUGGCGGCAGGCCUAACACAUGCAAGUCGAGCGGAUGAAGGGAGCUUGCUCCUGGAUUCAGCGGCGGACGGGUGAGUAAUGCCUAGGAAUCUGCCUGGUAGUGGGGGAUAACGUCCGGAAACGGGCGCUAAUACCGCAUACGUCCUGAGGGAGAAAGUGGGGGAUCUUCGGACCUCACGCUAUCAGAUGAGCCUAGGUCGGAUUAGCUAGUUGGUGGGGUAAAGGCCUACCAAGGCGACGAUCCGUAACUGGUCUGAGAGGAUGAUCGGUCACACUGGAACUGAGACACGGUCCAGACUCCUACGGGAGGCAGCAGUGGGGAAUAUUGGACAAUGGGCGAAAGCCUGAUCCAGCCAUGCCGCGUGUGAAGAAGGUCUUCGGAUUGUAAAGCACUUUAAGUUGGGAGGAAGGGCAGUAAGUUAAUACCUUGCUGUUUUGACGUUACCAACAGAAUAAGCACCGGCUAACUUCGUG